UUUGCAUCGUGUCAGAGUUCUGCUCUUCUUCUUCUUCUUCACCUUCAGACUUUUAGCAGUUUAGAUUUUACAUUUCUACAUUUUUGGACUUUCGUACCUGAAACUUUCUCCAACAACACUUUGGUAUCUCUCCUGCUGCUGACUCUAGAACUCAUCUCUCUCCUGUCAUUCAGAUUCUGUUUCAGCUUCAAAGACGAAAACACAGAAGAUCAACAUGAAGAUCUCUAUAUUUGCUGGUGUUCUGCUGCUCAGUGCUGCCGUGCUCUCUGUGGAUGGACAAGAAACUCCAGCUCAAAAGUUUAACAGACAACAUAUCAAGAAGAAAAUGAAUCGUAACCGCUGUGACGCCGUGCUGAAUAGGAAACACAUCAGAAAAACCGACAAUUGGUGUAAGGGGAGAAACACCUUCAUCAGUGCGACUUAUGGCGUUGUCCAAAGGGUCUGUUGGGAUAUUAAAAGAGGAGAGUCGUAUCCAAGAAAUCAAAAUCAAAAUCAAAACCAAAACCAAAACCAAAAUAAAAAUCAAAAUCAAAAUCAAAAUCUGAGAAUCAGCCUUCGUGGGUUCAAAAUUGUUAAUUGCGAUUGCAAUAUCAACCAGAAGAACCACUGUGACUGCCGUGGCUCUAGUGACAUCAGGAGAAUUGUAAUCGGUUGUGAAAAUGGUGUUCCUGUUCACUAUGAAAAAGGUGAGGUAAUUCCCAAUGGAUUAAUGAAUUAGAGUAAUCUGUUACUACCUGAUGAACCAGAGUAACCUAUUACUACCUGAUGUAUCAGAGUAAUCUGUCAGUACCUGAUGUAUCAGAGUAAUCUAUUACUACCUGAUGAACCAGUAAUCUGUUACAACCUGAUGUAUCAGAGUAAUCUAUUACUACCUGAUGAACCAGUAAUCUGUUACAACCUGAUGUAUAAUAGUAAUCUGUUACUACUUGAUCAAUAAAAGACAUGUUGACAGUUUA